UACGGAGGGCGCAAGCGUUGUUCGGAUUCACUGGGCAUAAAGAGCAUGUAGGCGGUCUACUCAGUCGGAUGUGAAAGCCCUCGGCCCAACCGGGGAACUGCAUUCGAUACUGGUAGACUAGAGGACGGCAGGGGUAAGUGGAACUCCAGGUGGAACGGUGAAAUGUGUAGAUAUCUGGAGGAACACCGGUGGCGAAAGCG
rnacentral:rRNA from 1 species